ACAGAUCUUGCAAAUGGAUUGUGUAAGACAGAGUGUGGAAGAGGAGGCUGUGAUCAGUGGCUUGGAGAGCAGAGUGUGGUCAGGCGCUAAACCUAAGGCUUUUCUGGGAAGAGCUGUUAAGAUUAGACUGUUCUCCCAAAAAGCCAAUAAUUCUGAGUGUCUCCAUUAAUGCCUAGGUAGCCCAUACUCUCACCCAGCCGGUGCCCUUCAGCCUGGAACCUUUGGAUGGAGGAUUGGACCUUGUGACCUUCAAGUUCCCUUCCGAACCAAAUAUGCUCUAACCCAGGAGAUGGUGCUGUUGCCCAGGAAGCCGGUCACCAUGACGAGAGUACCCGCUCAGAUGAGGAUGCAGGCGGAGGCGGUGAAGGUGCUGGAGGCCAGGAUGCUGAGGUACCUCCAGACACCACCCAGGCUGCAGCAAAUGGAAUGGGAGAGGCUAACACACCAUAAUUUUUCAAUUCCAUGAUGCCCAUUUUUUCUCACAUUUUAACGUCUCUAAAAUUGGGGCACAUCUUAUGAUUGAUGGCAUCUUACAAUUACACUUGGCAGUACUUUUUCUUGGUGAUACAAAAAAACAACAGUGUAUCUUACAACUGAUAGCUUAGAUUCAGUGAAAUCCUAGAAUACAACAGGUUUGAAAA
rnacentral:lncRNA from 1 species